GAUGAAGAACGCAGCGAAAUGCGAUAAGUAAUGUGAAUUGCAGAAUUCAGUGAAUCAUCGAAUCUUUGAACGCACAUUGCGCCCGCCAGUAUUCUGGCGGGCAUGCCUGUUCGAGCGUCAUUUCAACCCUCAAGCCCCAGCGGCCUGGUGUUGGGGACCGGCAACCUCGCCCGAGCCCGCCCUCCGGGGCGCGUGCCCGGUGCGUCCGCCGCCCCCGAAAUGAAUUGGCGGCCUCGUCGCGGCCUCCUCUGCGUAGUAGCACAACCUCGCAAGCGGGAGCGCGACGCGGCCACUGCCGUAAAACGCCCAACUUUUUUAGAGUUGACCUCGGAUCAGGUAGGAAUACCCGCUGAACUUAAGCAUAUCAAUAAGCGGAGGA
rnacentral:misc_RNA from 1 species